rnacentral:rRNA from 1 species
CAGCCGCCGCGGUAAUACCAGCCCCGCGAGUGGUCGGGACGGUUAUUGGGCCUAAAGCGCCCGUAGCCGGCCCGGCAAGUCCCUCCUUAAAGCCUCGGGCCCAACCCGAGGACGGGGGGGAUACUGCCGGGCUAGGGGGCGGGAGAGGCCGGCGGUACUCCCGGGGUAGGGGCGAAAUCCGUUAAUCCCGGGAGGACCACCAGUGGCGAAGGCGGCCGGCUGGAACGCGCCCGACGGUGAGGGGCGAAAGCCGGGGGAGCGAACCGGAUUAGAUACCCGGGUAGUCCCGGCGGUAAACGAUGCGGGCUAGCUGUUGGGCGGGCUUAGAGCCCGCCCAGUGGCGCAGGGAAGCCGUUAAGUCCGCCGCCUGGGGAGUACGGCCGCAAGGCUGAAACUUAAAGGAAUUGGCGG